rnacentral:tRNA from 1 species
GCCUGGGUGGCUCAGUUGGUUGAGCAUCAGACUUUGGCUCUGAUCAUGAUCUCACAGUUCAUGAGUUCAAGCCCUGCACCGGGCU